GUGGGGAAUUUUGGACAAUGGGGGCAACCCUGAUCCAGCCAUCCCGCGUGUGCGAUGAAGGCCUUCGGGUUGUAAAGCACUUUUGGCAGGGAAGAAAAGUUUCGGGCUAAUACCCUGGAGCGAUGACGGUACCUGCAGAAUAAGCACCGGCUAACUACGUGCCAGCAGCCGCGGUAAUACGUAGGGUGCAAGCGUUAAUCGGAAUUACUGGGCGUAAAGCGUGCGCAGGCGGUUCGGAAAGAAAGAUGUGAAAUCCCAGGGCUUAACCUUGGAACUGCAUUUUUAACUGUCGAACUCGAGUAUGUCAGAGGGGGGUAGAAUUCCACGUGUAGCAGUGAAAUGCGUAGAGAUGUGGAGGAAUACCGAUGGCGAAGGCAGCCCCCUGGGAUAAUACUGACGCUCAUGCACGAAAGCGUGGGGAGCAAACAGGAUUAGAUACCCUUGUAGUCC
rnacentral:rRNA from 1 species